rfam:Lactobacillus mucosae LM1, complete genome.
UCAAACAUAUCGAAAAGUAGAGUAGAUUGUGGCGCGUGCUCAGAGAGUUUCCGGUUGGUGCGAGGAAAUUCGUUAAGCAGUCGAAGAUGGGCUUGGAAUGGUACUGGCGAUAUUUAGCCGGUAACGGGGUUGCAGCCGUUAUCAAUGCAAGGUGAUUUUUUUAAGUCACCUACUGAGGCUUAAUUUGCGAGAAUUAGGCAAAAAAAGGUGGUACCGCGAAACACUCGUCCUUUUU